rnacentral:rRNA from 1 species
AGGGUUUGAUUAUGGCUCAGGAUGAACGCUAGCGACAGGCCUAACACAUGCAAGUCGAGGGGCAGCGAAGAGGUAGCAAUACCUUUGUCGGCGACCGGCGCACGGGUGAGUAACACGUAUGCAAUCCACCUGUAACAGGGGGAUAACCCGGAGAAAUCCGGACUAAUACCCCAUAAUAUGGGCGCUCCGCAUGGAGAGCCCAUUAAAGAGAGCAAUUUUGGUUACAGACGAGCAUGCGCUCCAUUAGCCAGUUGGCGGGGUAACGGCCCACCAAAGCGACGAUGGAUAGGGGUUCUGAGAGGAAGGUCCCCCACAUUGGAACUGAGACACGGUCCAA